AGCAGGGUGUAGUGGUUUGAGUGUUAGACUAGGACUGUGGAGGCCAAGGUUCAAAUCCCUGCUUUGCCA